GAGGGUAUAGCUCAAGUGGUAGAGCACAUGUUUAUUAGCAUUCAUGAGGUCCUGGGUUCAAUCCCCAGUACUUCCU
rnacentral:tRNA from 1 species